rfam:Syntrophaceae bacterium CG2_30_58_14 cg2_3.0_scaffold_1517_c, whole genome shotgun sequence.
AAACCCUUUUAAUUGAAUCCCGCGAGAUUGAAAAGGGACGACACAUGCAAAAAGUUUCAUGCCUUCAAAAAUUGGUAUGCAGGCCUUCACCCGUCAGGGGAAGGCCUUUUUUUU